rnacentral:tRNA from 1 species
GCCCGAGUGGCGGAAUGGCAGACGCGACGGACUCAAAAUCCGUUGUCCGAAAGGGCAUGUGGGUUCGAGUCCCACCUCGGGCACCA